ACUCCUACGGGAGGCAGCAGUGGGGAAUAUUGCACAAUGGGGGAAACCCUGAUGCAGCCAUGCCGCGUGUGUGAAGAAGGCCUUCGGGUUGUAAAGCACUUUCAGUAGGGAGGAAGGUAGUGUAGUUAACACCUGCAUUAUUUGACGUUACCUACAGAAGAAGCACCGGCUAACUCCGUGCCAGCAGCCGCGGUAAUACGGAGGGUGCGAGCGUUAAUCGGAAUUACUGGGCGUAAAGCGCAUGCAGGCGGCCUGUUAAGUCAGAUGUGAAAGCCCGGGGCUUAACCUCGGAAUUGCAUUUGAAACUGGCAGGCUAGAGUCUUGUAGAGGGGUUAGAAUUUCAGGUGUAGCGGUGAAAUGCGUAGAGAUCUGAAGGAAUACCAGUGGCGAAGGCGGCCCCCUGGACAAAGCUGACGCUCAGAUGCGAAAGCGUGGGAGCAAACAGGAUUAGAUACCCCUGGUAGACUGUCA
rnacentral:rRNA from 1 species